rfam:Sarcophilus harrisii ctg7180002418054, whole genome shotgun sequence.
UAAAAGGUUUUUCUAAAAACCACUUCUCUUGUCAUUUCUUAGUAGU